ACGCAGCCAGUGUGCACAGAGCGAACUAUUCUUUUGCCUUUUACUAAAGAAUCGUGUGCACGUUGCAUUUUUUUUAAAGAGCCUCUCCCCUUUGGGACUGGCCCUUCAGUUA